AUCGAAGCUGGGCCAGCCCCGUUUCCAGGCAGCGGGGGGAGCCGGCGGCAGGCAUAUCUCAAUAUUCCACAAGUGAGCAGCUCCUCCCAGCCUCCCCGCCGGACCCCCUGCCCCACGGUCCUCCUUUUGCCAGCUGCCCUCGGAGGACAGAAGUCACCCCAGGGGACACCAGGUGGGCAGGGUGGCCCUGAGGUUAGCUGAGGUUUAACACCCGCCUGGAGGGCAGGUGCGCCAAGCUGCUCUCCGACAAAGCACCUUCCCUGCGUGGGAAGGGCCCCUCAGCUUUCCACGGCCCCAGACAAUGCUGAGAAGCCCACUUUUUGCGAGUCGCUCAAGGUUUGGGACCCUCCUCCGCAGCUCGCAUUCAAACCACACCGUGCACACCCUGUGCGGUGGGCUGGGAGGCAGGAGACAUCAGGCCGCACAGCUGAGAACCCCUACCUGAGAACACCCUCUCUGAAGAGGGAGCAAAGAGACGCUAAGACCUGGGCCCCCUCCGUCUCCGCCCAUGCCUCCCGAAAGGGUAAGGAGGAGAAUUACCUUUCAGCCCUCCUCUGGGCCAGCCUGGACGGCUGGUGUCAUCGCCUGCAUUCCCCGGGGUGUUUGUCGGGGUAACGCUCAAGGUCAGGGUCUGGCCCGCCUCUCAUACUCAGCACUGAGGCCCCCACACCCGCGGGUUUGAUUUUGACGAGACGAGGCAGCAAAUGGGAAGACAUCACGCUCUUCCUCAGGACCUUCUCAGGUUCUUCAGUAACAAGAAACCUGAACCUUUGAAUCCUCAAGGACUUCAACUCUCCCUGAGAAAGUCUGCUGAAGAAAGCAUCUAGUCCAGCCUCCAACCGAUGAAUGAGACCCCUCUGCCGAAUCCCAGCAACGCUCUAAUCUCCUGCUGUCAGACAAGAGGCGGGGGCCACGGGGCGUGGGAAGCACAUGAGCAGAGAACGACCUGGGUUCAAGUCCUGAUUCUGCCACAUAUUCCUGCUGGUCCCUACAAAAGUCACUUCAGAUGUCUCAACCUCAAUUUCCUCAUCUCUCCCCUUCAACUGAGAUGUUUGUUCAACCCAGAAAAAAAAGUAGGUGAAGUGUCCAACAUCCGUCAUAGUACACGCUCAGCAAAGUCUAACAUUUAAAUGA